rnacentral:rRNA from 1 species
GACGAACGCUGGCGGCGUGCUUAACACAUGCAAGUCGAACGGAAAGGCCCUGCUUUUGUGGGGUGCUCGAGUGGCGAACGGGUGAGUAACACGUGAGUAACCUGCCCUUGACUUUGGGAUAACUUCAGGAAACUGGGGCUAAUACCGGAUAGGAGCUCCUGCUGCAUGGGGGGGGUUGGAAAGUUUCGGCGGCUGGGGAUGGACUCGCGGCUUAUCAGCUUGUUGGUGGGGUAGUGGCUUACCAAGGCUUUGACGGGUAGCCGGCCUGAGAGGGUGACCGGCCACAUUGGGACUGAGAUACGGCCCAGACUCCUACGGGAGGCAGCAGUGGGGAAUAUUGCACAAUGGGCGGAAGCCUGAUGCAGCAACGCCGCGUGCGGGAUGACGGCCUUCGGGUUGUAAACCGCUUUCGCCUGCGACGAAGCGUGAGUGACGGUAAUGGGUAAAGAAGCACCGGCUAACUACGUG